UAUUGACAAUGGCAAACCUGCUGAAAAGCAGCGACGCAAAGCUAAAGGGCCUGUAACAUGGCAGCCAGCUACCAAA
rfam:Syntrophobotulus glycolicus DSM 8271, complete genome.